rnacentral:snoRNA from 1 species
UUGAGCUCUGAUGAUAAAUGCUUAUAAUCCCAGCUCAUUAUGAGACCUUUUUGUAAGGUCUGGGAAUUCACUCUCUCACAUUUAACUGAGCUCUUUC